GGGCAUCUGUCUAUUUAGAGUUGAGGGGUAUGAGCAGAGAAGGUAGACCAUAAUCCACUUCUCUAUCUGAAGUGUGCUUUCUCUAUCUUAUAUUCAUCUUGUGUGCGCUUGAACAUUCAAAUCGAGCCAUCGCCCAUAUGGCUACUAUAGGCCAUAUAGGCAUGUGAGGUAUCACGAUUACAAUUUAUACGGAGUAGCUCCGUUGACUUAGUGUUACAGCAAGUGGGCUGGCUGCAGGCUUAGGCUCACGAGCACCGUAGCUCGUGAACGGUGCCACGAAUAGGAGUAGUUGGUUUGUUAGGAAGGAAAUAAGUUAGAUGGAUUUGGUUAGAAAUAAGGUUGUUUAGAUUAGAUUGAGUCAAUUAGAUGGCUAGCUAUAUAAGCACAACCGCACCAUCCAUUGUAAUCAAGGAUAUAAGCACAACCGCACCAUCCAUUGUAAUCAAGGAAGAAGUAGAGAAUUAAUCUUGGAGCCUCCAGCAUGAGGGCGAGAUCCCAUCUACUACCUUCCCUAUCCAGUAAAGUAACCAUAUCAACUUUGAUAUUCAGAGCCUUAGAUCCUACGACCCUGCCAUCAAAAAAAAAUUCCCCCUACGAUAGAUUAGAUUGAUUCCAUACUACUCCCACAAAUCCUCAAAACCCAUCCAGAAAUUACAUCUGCACAUCAACAACCAGCCAUGGCACCUCCUUGGUUGAGGGCAUCAGAUGCGUGUCUGACAAUGUCAAUCACGUUUCGAAAGGGCUUGAUCGCUUCACCCACAACAUAUUUGAGAUAUUCGGCGAGCUCUGUGAGGAGUUCCUGCUCUGAAGGACAAGAUCGCAGCGGUGCCAUCUUCACCGCCAGUGAAGACCCAACCUGCUGCAACGAUGACCACAGCAAUAUCUUCCAAUCUGCUGGUGUGUACUGUCUCCACUGCUGAUUCGGCGGAAGAUUCAUACAUCGUCGCUACGCCUGCCUCACCACUGGCUUCUAUGACUUCCUCACUGACAAUUGUGGCAGCAUCUUCUCGAGCAGCAUCACUUGUGCUGCUACCCCCCCCCCUCCCUCCCGCAGCACCAUCAACGGCAAUGCCUUCUCCUCCACGAGUGUCGUAUCUGAUUCCGGCCACCACAUCGCGUCCGCCAAUGACAUCUCCACCAACAGCACUGCUACCCUACAACAACCACGCGCGCUGGGGCCACAGUCCUCGCCCGCUGAAGCUAUGACUUGCCAUCCUGCCCGGCGUGCAAACCCACACUUUCCCCUGCCGACGCUGUCCCUAGCGUGCCCACAGAUGGUGUGCCCACAGGCCAGCCAGCCAGCGCCGCCUAUGGCGCGCCCGCGGGCUAGUCGACAGCGGCGCUGCACUUGCCUAUCACGGCUUCGCGAGCGUCCUCGACGCCCGCGGCAUUAGCCUCCUCCCUGGAUGCUCUGCUCUAGCAUGCUCAGGCCUCUCAGCAGCUCAUAGACUCCGCAGACCUCCCGACCUGGUGUAGUCUCCACAUCACCAUCAUGGAUGGGCGCGCUGCUACAGCCGUCCGCGCCCAGAUUAAUGGCCUGCCAACCACACGCGUGGUGCCACACCCGACGCAGCUGGCCGUCAGUCUCCGCCUACAGCUCGUCCAGGCUAUCAACUAUGUUUGCUCAAGUGUGCUUCAUCACCGCCAGGUUCCAGCCACAUAAGGUCUGCAGCUCUAAGCAUUGCCACAGCUUGAGGACAAGCUAUCUUCAAGGGGUGGUGAAGUGUUAUGGCAAGUGGGCUAGCUGCAGGCUUAGGCCCAUGAGCACUGUAGCUCGUGAACAGUGCCAUGAAUAGGAGUAGUUGGUUUGUUAGGAAGGAGAUAGUUAAUGGAUUUGGUUAGAGAUAAGGUUGUUAGAUAGAUAAGGUUGUUUAGAUUAGAUUGAGUCUGUUAGAUGGCUGGCUAUAUAAGCACAACCGUACCAUCCAUUAUAAUCAAGGAAGAAGUAGAGGAUUAAUCUCAGAACCUCCAUCAUGAGGGCGAGAUCCUAUCUACUACCUUCCCUAUCUAUCUUAGUAAAGUAACCAUAUCAAUGCAUUCCGGAGAUGCCUCAGUUUCUUCAUCAUUGGUAGCUGGUAGGGGUCUGCUUUCCACUUUCUUGCAAUUACCUUUCUCAUCCAGUGGCCCUUUCGGUUUGGGAAACUGCUGUUAUCUAAAAUAAGAACAAAAAAGAAUGCAGAACCGAUUCAUUUUGCUUUUAGUUAGAUAAAAUUAAUGUUAACGCACUUCAAAUGUGCUAUAGAACUGCGAUGUUUGUUACUUAAACUUAUCAGCUGGUGCCAUGUACCUGAAGUAGAUAAAUAAACUCAAGAUCAAAUGCCGCAUUUAGAGUUCUUGAAACCUUUAGUCAUGUGGCUCAUUAAGGCCUAAAAUUAAUUUAAGGUGGCGUGGCUUCAUUCAUCAACAAAAAUCUCACCCACUAUUCCUUUGUUCUCAUCACACUAAUCAGCUUCUCUAUUGCCAACAAACAACAACAACGUAGCUUUCAGUCCCAAGCAUGUUGAGAUAGGGUAGAUGUGACGACCGACCCCUAAUCUUCCGAGUUAACCUUAAUCGGAGCCCUUGAUCAUAGUCAUCUGUCUUGUUUUACCGCGCCUGAGUGCUCAGCCUUCAGCCCGAUCCCGACCCCUGAGACCCGACCCCUCCCCGCUUCGCUUCGAUCCCGACCCCGGCGAGCUCAGCCCACCGUCGGAUCCUUCUAAGUCUUCCUCAAACGUCUGUUCUAUCCGCCCGGUGGACCCACGAGAUCUUUUCCCCCAGAUCCUCCGCGACAGGCGCACUCGAGUUGCAUGCCCGCUUCAGAGUCUUCCUACCGCGUGGCUCGUCUUCUCCGACGCCGCCGCUCAGUUUUGUCUCGGGCUAGCGACCGAGUGGAUUCCCACGCCCCCUUCCCCAAUGGCAGCGGAAGCCCCUCUGCAACCUUUCUGCAGAGCCUCGCCUCCCGCGCCCAUCAUCACGCCGCCAGAUCCCGGCCCCAGAGCCCGAUGCCGCCCGUCUUUUCCGUCACUUCGACCACAGUCGCGCCGCCUGGUCUCCGCUACACGACGAUUCCUCCAUCGCCAACCCCGACCGCGGCAGCGACAGCUCCUUUCCCCGCCCUGUUAGAAGCCGCCCGACAAUCUGUUGCUCCGCGCUCGCCCGCGCGCCCGCGGCUGCCUGUCUUCUCACCUGUGCGCCCUCGAUUCUAGCGCCGUUAAACCGGUCGCUUCUAUCAAAUCUUCCGCACGGCGACGCCCGCCUCCGCCAAAUCUCAACCACCGGCAUACCCGCUCCUGCGCCACCCUGACGCCAGAACCCAAUGACCGCUGGCGUCACCCCCGGAGUCCUGCACCACCGCCCUCUUCGCUCAAUCGCCGCCACGGCAGAGCACUCCAUUGCUUCUCCCCGGCCUUCGCGCCGCUCCCCUUCUCUCUCUCCCGCGCCGCUUCCUUUCUCUGUUCCAGCAGCUAUAAAAGGAAUGCACCAGCCGCCGGAGUUCCCUCCUCCAUUGCUGCCUUCAGCCAUUCUCUCGCUCCCUGCUCAAGCUCCUAGCGCCACACACCAAGUUCUUGAGGAACUCUUCUCUCAGCUUCUCCCUCGGUUUUCUUCAAGUCACCCAGCCGCUUGCUCCUCCGUGCUGCGUAAAAGCUUACUUGUGAUCUGCAAGAAGCAUCGCCGCCGCCGAGCAUUGCCGGUCUUAGCCGUUGUUCAAAGCUUUAGUCCCUCCACCCAAGUCUGCCUCUUUCCGACCCCAAGCUUUCCUUUCAGGAAGAAGGUAAGUUGCCGACCCCCAGUCCGCUUCGCCCGACCCCUCUUAUCCGCCCGACCCCGGUUCCGUCUCGCCCGACCCUAUCUGUUCCGCCGACCCUUAUCCGCCUCGCCCGAGGGUUCGGCUGUGAUCUUUUUCUUCAACCCGAGGGUGUAUGUGUAAAAAUUUAGGAACCCUUCAGCGCUUGCGUCUGAGGAUUCCUAGUAUACCACAUCCUCUAGUCCAAGGAUCAGAUCAUAAGUUCUUUUCCGACCCUUGCCUCUUGAUCAUCACCAGCUCUCUUGAACCUCCCUACCCUCCUGCUCUUUGUCGCGAGUUUCUGGGAUCAGGCGAGCCAGUGUUGCUGUUGAAAUAACCGUCUAUGCUGACCUUUGCAUUGCAUUCGUGUAGAGCUGCACCUCGCCGAUGGCUUCUAUGAGCUACACCCGGCGCCAGAAGACGAAGCUGUAGCUGAGCUCCUGCCCGCUGAAGCCGAAGUCGCCCCCGAAGUCGAGCAGUUUCCUUCCUCUUUGCUCGAAGGCAAGCCCCGGUUGCAUGAAAACCCUGCGUGUUUUACCAAACUUGCGCAUGCCUUCUGUAACAUGCUUGUGCAUUUACGUAUAGGAGUUGUUUGAAACCCUAGAUGCAUGACUUAGU
rnacentral:lncRNA from 1 species